GAUGAACGCUGGCGGCGUGCCUAAUACAUGCAAGUCGAGCGAACAGACGAGGAGCUUGCUCCUCUGACGUUAGCGGCGGACGGGUGAGUAACACGUGGAUAACCUACCUAUAAGACUGGGAUAACUUCGGGAAACCGGAGCUAAUACCGGAUAAUAUAUUGAACCGCAUGGUUCAAUAGUGAAAGACGGUUUUGCUGUCACUUAUAGAUGGAUCCGCGCCGCAUUAGCUAGUUGGUAAGGUAACGGCUUACCAAGGCAACGAUGCGUAGCCGACCUGAGAGGGUGAUCGGCCACACUGGAACUGAGACACGGUCCAGACUCCUACGGGAGGCAGCAGUAGGGAAGCUUCCGCAAUGGGCGAAAGCCUGACGGAGCAACGCCGCGUGAGUGAUGAAGGUCUUCGGAUCGUAAAACUCUGUUAUUAGGGAAGAACAAAUGUGUAAGUAACUAUGCACGUCUUGACGGUAACUAAUCAGAAAGCCACGGCUAACUACGUG
rnacentral:rRNA from 1 species